GUAACGCGUGGAUAACCUGCCUGUCAGACCGGGAUAACUCUUGGAAACGGGAGCUAAUACCGGAUACGAACACCGAUGCGAAAGCGUUGUUGUUGAAAAGGGGAAACCUGCUGACAGAUGAGUCCGCGUCCCAUUAGCUAGUUGGUGGGGUAAAGGCCUACCAAGGCGACGAUGGGUAGCCGGCCUGAGAGGGUGAACGGCCACACUGGAACUGAGACACGGUCCAGACUCCUACGGGAGGCAGCAGUGGGGAAUAUUCCGCAAUGGGCGAAAGCCUGACGGAGCAACGCCGCGUGAGGGAAGAAGGCUUUCGGGUUGUAAACCUCUGUUGUAUGGGAAGAAGGAUUGACGGUACCAUACGAGGAAGCCCCGGCUAACUACGUGCCAGCAGCCGCGGUAAUACGUAGGGGGCGAGCGUUGUCCGGAAUUACUGGGCGUAAAGGGCGUGUAGGCGGCAAACUAAGUUAGAGGUGAAAGAUUGGGGCUUAACCCCAAGCAUGCCUCUAAAACUGGUUAGCUUGAGUGCAGGAGAGGAAAGCGGAAUUCCUGGUGUAGCGGUGAAAUGCGUAGAUAUCAGGAGGAACACUCGUGGCGAAGGCGGCUUUCUGGCCUGUAACUGACGCUGAGGCGCGAAAGCGUGGGGAGCAAACAGGAUUAGAUACCCUGGUAGUCCACGCCGUAAACGAUGAGUGCUAGGUGUUGGAGGUAUCGACCCCUUCAGUGCCGUAGUUAACGCGAUAAGCACUCCGCCUGGGGAGUACGGUCGCAAGACUGAAACUCAAAGGAAUUGACGGGGGCCCGCACAAGCGGUGGAGCAUGUGGUUUAAUUCGACGCAACGCGAAGAACCUUACCAGGGCUUGACAUCCUCUGACCGACCUAGAGAUAGGUAAUUCUCUUUUAGAGACAGAGAGACAGGUGGUGCAUGGUUGUCGUCAGCUCGUGUCGUGAGAUGUUGGGUUAAGUCCCGCAACGAGCGCAACCCCUACCGUUAGUUGCCAGCACGUAAAGGUGGGCACUCUGGCGGAACUGCCGUUGACAAAACGGAGGAAGG
rnacentral:rRNA from 1 species